rnacentral:lncRNA from 1 species
UUUUUUUUCCCCUGACUCUGGAGUUUAGCAAUCUGAAAUGGGCGCGCCUAGAAGCGGAGUGAGAAGUCUAAAUUGAGACGGGACUUGGUGGCUCCACCCCUCCCACCGGCAUCACAAUGGCGCUUCUGGCUGCUCCGGCAGGCAUCGCAAACCCAGGGGGGGUCCGAAAGCGGUCUCUAAAUGCGGUCAGCCCCACCUGGCCCCCAGCAUCCCUGCUCCCCGCGGAGAACACAGGGCGCCCGCUUCCCCAGCCCACCGGGUUCCUCGGGCUGUUUACACUAGCGCUCUACCAACGAUGCCCAGAGUGAAUAAACAGGCCCAUCCUUGUGAGGAGAAAUUCAGAGCAGCUAUGUGAACUGGAAAAAAAUCAAUCAUUGUCCCCCAGACUAUGAGUCAUAAUUUUAGAGAAAUGGCACACACACACGCAUAUACACACACACACGAGGCCAAACCAAGGUACUUUCUGGAUAGUUUAAUGUAUGUGAAUGAAACAGGAGGGAAACGAUUUUUACUUAAAACACAAAUUAAGGUAUUUUGUUUGCCUGUCCAGGAAAAUGUUGUGGUUUCUCAGUUUAAAAAAAAAAAAAA